rnacentral:rRNA from 1 species
AGCUCCAAUAGCGUAUAUUAAAGUUGUUGUGGUUAAAAAGCUCGUAGUUGAACCUUGGGCCUGGCUGGCCGGUCCGCCUCACCGCGUGCACUGGUCCGGCCGGGCCUUUCCCUCUGCGGAACCCCAUGCCCUUCGCUGGGCGUGGCGGGGAAACAGGACUUUUACUUUGAAAAAAUUAGAGUGCUCCAGGCAGGCCUAUGCUCGAAUACAUUAGCAUGGAAUAAUGAAAUAGGACGCGCGGUUCUAUUUUGUUGGUUUCUAGGACCGCCGAAUGAUUAAUAGGGACAGUCGGGGGCAUCAGUAUUCAAUUGUCAGAGGUGAAAUUCUUGGAUUUAUUGAAGACUAACUACUGCGAAAGCAUUUGCCAAGGAUGUUU